rnacentral:rRNA from 1 species
CGACAGGUUNUCCGAGUGGUUUCUGCUAAAGGAACCUUUUGUCGGUCCUAGAAACACCGAUGAAUAAGGGGUGGGCAAGUUCUGGUGUCAGCCGCCGCGGUAAAACCAGCACCUCAAGUGGUCAGGAUGAUUAUUGGGCCUAAAGCAUCCGUAGCCGGCUCCGUAAGUUUUCGGUUAAAUCUGUACGCUCAACGUACAGGCUGCUGGGAAUACUGCAGAGCUAGGGAGUGGGAGAGGUAGACGGUACUCGGUAGGAAGGGGUAAAAUCCUUUGAUCUAUUGAUGACCACCUGUGGCGAAGGCGGUCUACCAGAACACGUCCGACGGUGAGGGAUGAAAGCUGGGGGAGCAAACCGGAUUAGAUACCCGGGUAGUCCCAGCUGUAAACUAUGCAAACUCAGUGAUGCAUUGGCUUGUGGCCAAUGCAGUGCUGCAGGGAAGCCGUUAAGUUUGCCGCCUGGGAAGUACGUACGCAAGUAUGAAACUUAAAGGAAUUGGCGGGAA